GACGAACCUGACAAACGUUAUUCGGAAUUACUGGGCUUAACGGGUGCGUAGGCGGCGCGACAAGUUGGGUGUGAAAUCCCUCGGCUCAACCGAGGAACUGCGCUCAAUACUGUCGUGCUCGAGGGAGACAGAGGUGAGCGGAACUUAGGGUGGAGCGGUGAAAUGCGUUGAUAUCCUAAGGAACACCGGUAGCGAAAGCGGCUCACUGGUUCUUUUCUGACGCUGAAGCACGAAAGCUAGGGUAGCGAACGGG
rnacentral:rRNA from 1 species